rfam:Serratia sp. ATCC 39006 ctg3, whole genome shotgun sequence.
UUUUCCAUGCUGAUUUCCAUUAGAACAAGGGAAAUUGCGGAAUUAUUAUAUUUGCCUGAUUACACAUAAACGCAGCAAUGGCGUAAGACGUAUUGUUUAAUCAAGCAGUUAGCGAGCUGCGGUUUGCAGCUUGGCCGGCAUAUGGAAUCAGGUCUGGUAAUAUAUUUUCAGAAGCUGUUCCCGCAGUAAAUGCGCUGUAACUCCCGCCAGGAUCUACAGGCUACCGAAAAAUGCGUCUCUAUGCAGUCGACAACCGGGAGGUUGACGUCUCUGCAAUAAGCCUCGAGGCCAUCGGUUCUCUCCGGUCAUGCACCGUAUUUAUCCGCAGCUCUAUCAAUAA